rnacentral:sRNA from 1 species
GUUGGAAAUAUUUGCUGGUACAUAUC